rnacentral:RNase_MRP_RNA from 14 species
GAAGCAGCGCAUUUGGUGCUGACGGGAGAAGGACGGUUUGAUGCCUCUAGCGCCUUUGGGAAAGUCCCGACAAAGGUUGCCGAAAGGGCAAAAAGGCGUGGAGUUCCAGUGAUAGUCUUAUGUGGAAGCAUCAGCUGCGACC